CCCACCUUUGACAUGUUCGGAAUUGGUCAGAGAUGGCCGAGUGCUUGAAAGAGAACCGAAACACAGGUGCUGCAUGGCUGUCGUCAGCUCGUGUCGUGAGAUGUUGGGUUAAGUCCCGCAACGAGCGCAACCCUUACCAUUAGUUGCUACGCAAGGGCACUCUAAUGGGACUGCCGGUGACAAACCGGAGGAAGGUGGGGAUGACGUCAAGUCCUCAUGGCCCUUAUAGGUGGGGCUACACACGUCAUACAAUGGCUGGUACAAACGGUUGCCAACCCGCGAGGGGGAGCUAAUCCGAGAAAACCAGUCGUAGUCCGGAUCGUAGUCUGCAACUCGACUACGUGAAGUCGGAAUCGCUAGUAAUCGUGGAUCAGAAUGUCACGGUGAAUACGUUCCCGGGUCUUGUACACACCGCCCGUCACAUCCAUGGGAGCGGGUUCUGCCAGAAGUAGUUAGCCUAACCGCAAGGAGGGCGAUUACCACGGCAGGGUUCGUGACUGGGGUGAAGUCGUAACAAGGUAAC
rnacentral:rRNA from 1 species